GCCUCUAUGGUCUAGUUGGUUAUGACGCCGAUCUCAUAGUUUCCGCUUUGGAGAAAUUCGGAGGUCCUGAGUUCGAUCCUCAGUGGGGGCA